GGUUUCAUCGUUUACAUUUUACAAUCGUCUCACUCAGCCUGCAAUCGUCGAUCUCAUACCUCAUCAAUAUGCAAUCGUCGAUCUCCACCGUCUCCGUCCCACCUCCGUCGACCUAUGCAGCAAAAGUUUGAUACUGCAGCCACCACCACCGUUCGCAGACACUACGACCGCUCGCAACUACCACGACCGCUCGUAACAACCACCACCUGCUCGUUUUGAAGUAACAAGUAGUAGCAUUUAGUGUAAGCGAUUGGUUUACACUUAAUAGAAGAGAUGCACAAAAUUGGUUAUUGGCCCAAACCGGCUUUUACCCAAACUGGCUGGUUUUAACCAGUUUCAGCAGGAGGGAGGGUUUGUGGAACUGAGUUUAUUUUCGCCUAGUCAGCUUUCGACUCCGGUCGGUUCACCUCAGAUACUGGGCUGGCCUAUGCUCCCUUCUGCCGCAACCUGAAUGAAAAAAAGCUCAAUUUUGUGGUAAAUCAACAGUUUGUAAAGGGUUUUUAGACUUCUUAAUAAGGAUUGCUGUUUUUAUUUUUAAUUUUUUUGUUUUAUUUGUUUUGGAGAUUUGAGAUAUGUAUGUUGGUUUGGCUGAAAAUCCACCUUGUUUUUGUUUGGUGGGAAUUAUGAUAUGUAUCUCAUUACAUUAUGCAACUAUAAACCCUUGUGAAAUUUCUUCUUUCUAGUUA